rnacentral:lncRNA from 1 species
AAACUAAAAUUAGUCUCUUUGUAACUUGUGCCUUCUGUUCCUAGUUCUUCAAUAUGGGGCCAAAUAGAACCUCCGAAAAUGUUUCAUGCAAAAAGAUAUUAUCUGAGCUGCCUCAUAUAAUGAAAAGAAGGGGAAUCUUCGAAUUGAAGAUUUGGAAUUUGACUUGGACAGACUAAUACAAGAUGCCCAAAAUGCACUGCUUCCAACGUCCGAACAAGAGCCAAGUAUGCCAAGAAAGGUUUGUGAAUUAUGUUAUCAUUGUAAAUUAUGGAUCUACUAGUUAAUUUAGUCAAACAGCAAGUUUAUUCACUUUAACAUGAACAAUGUUAUUACUUACAUGGCUGAUAUAUGUACACUGGAGAAAUUCAACUAACUCAUCAGAAGUUCUUUUCAGUUUAUAUGAUAAUAACAGCUGACACACAUAUGGUACUUUAAAGUCACAAAACACUUUACGUUCAUCAUCUCAUUUGAUCCUGACAGCAAUUCUGUAAGGUAGGAACUAUUUCUAUUCCCAUUUUAUAGAUGAAGAAAUUAAAGAUCAGAGAAACUAAGGAAUUUGCUGAAGGUCAUAUAAUUAGCAAGAGUCUAAAGCAAUAUUUGAAUUAAGAUCUUUCUGACUCGAAGUUCAGCCCUUGAUUUACUAAAGCAUGUUGUCCCUUUGCUUGUAACUAGAUUUUGAACAUUCUGAAAAGCCUCAUUUCAUUCUGAAAAGUCAAUAAUUCCUCACUAAAAACACGUACUUUUUAGCUCUUUCAUCUACAAACAUUCUUCUUUUUAAUUUAAACUUCCUUUUAUGUCUCUGUUUUGUUCCAUUAUAAUUAUUUCUAGAUAUAUCUCCAAUUCACCUACACAGUGAGCCUACCUUUGUAACCAAAGUAAAAGUUAAACAAAAUUAAUCUAUAUAGUGAACCUUGUCUGACAGCACAGGCAAUAUCCUGUUCUCAUAGUCCCUCACUUCUCUAAGGUGAGAAAGCAUAUAUAUUUUCUCAUCUCAUCUCUGGGGCUGA